GGGUGGGGGAUCUAACCACUACAUCUCUCACCUCACGGACCCCACACUUAUUUCAGCUAAGUGGCUGCCAGCUUCCAAUGUCCCUUUCCUCCCUCAUAGCUCCAAGACUCUCCCUCCAGAAACUGAGAGCCCAGCAAGGAGGAUAUCUUCCAAGGGAGAAGUUGUGCCGGUGACUACAAACUCCUGCUAGCAAUUCCAAGAAAGUCCACAAAGUCCAUUUGUAGGACAAUGUUGAGUAAGUCAGAAACAUUCCAAGAGCAAAUUAUUAUACAAGAAAGAGAUUAGCUUU
rnacentral:snRNA from 1 species